CCUACGGGUGGCAGUAGUGAGGAAUAUUGGUCAAUGGACGAGAGUCUGAACCAGCCAAGUAGCGUGAAGGAUGACUGCCCUAUGGGUUGUAAACUUCUUUUAUAUGGGAAUAAAAUGUUCCACGUGUGGGAUUUUGUAUGUACCAUAUGAAUAAGGAUCGGCUAACUCCGUGCCAGCAGCCGCGAUAAUACGGAGGAUCCGAGCGUUAUCCGGAUUUAUUGGGUUUAAAGGGAGCGUAGGUGGAUUGUUAAGUCAGUUGUGAAAGUUUGCGGCUCAACCGUAAAAUUGCAGUUGAAACUGGCAGUCUUGAGUACAGUAGAGGUGGGCGGAAUUCGUGGUGUAGCGGUGAAAUGCUUAGAUAUCACGAAGAACUCCGAUUGCGAAGGCAGUUCACUGGACUGCAACUGACACUGAGGCUCGAAAGUGAGGGUAUCAAACAGGAUUAGAUACCCCUGUAGUC
rnacentral:rRNA from 1 species